GCUUGGAUAAGGUCUUCUAUUU
rnacentral:miRNA from 1 species